rnacentral:ncRNA from 1 species
GAUAGAGGUUGCGGAGAUUAUAAGUAGGCUUCACAAGACGCAUGGGAAUGCAGAUGCUGAAAGGAUGAUCCGCCGAAGAGUGCAUGGACUUCCCGGUCCGGCAUUCUGGGACGCCGUAAUAAGAUGCGGCGUACUGUCACGCAAGUGGAGCGCUAUCAU